rnacentral:rRNA from 1 species
GAACGUCGUGAGACAGUUCGGUCCCUAUCUUCCGUGGGUGUAGGAUAUUUGAGAGGAGUUGCCCCUAGUACGAGAGGACCGGGGUGAACGUUCCACUGGUGGACCAGUUGUCGUGCCAACGGCAGUGCUGGGUAGCUAUGAACGGACAGGAUAACCGCUGAAGGCAUCUAAGCGGGAAGCCCCCCUCAAAACAAGAUAUCCCUGAGAGCCGAGGUAGACUACCUCGUCGAUAGGCCAGAGAUGUAAGCGCAGCAAUGCGUUCAGUUGACUGGUACUAAUGGCUC